rnacentral:rRNA from 1 species
GAAAGUAAUAAAGGGCGUAUGGGGGAUGCCUAGGCUCUUGGAGGCGAAGAAAGACGUGGUAAGCUGCGAUAAGCCUCGGGGAUUUGCAAACGAGAAUUGAUCCGAGGAUUUCUGAAUGGGACAACCCGGCAGGCAGAAGGCCUGUCACACGAAAGUGGGCCAACCCUCUGAACUGAAACAUCUUAGUAGGAGGAGGAAAAGAAAGAAACAUCGAUUUCCUAAGUAGCGGCGAGCGAACGGGAAACAGCCUAAACCACAAUUGUUACGGCAACUGUGGGGUUGUAGGACUGCAAUAUUCAAAUGACUGUGAACUGGAAUGUUCUGGAAAGUUCAUCCAUAGAGAGUGAAAGACUCGUACAGGCAAGCACGUCAGGCGAUAGCAGUAUCCUGAGUAGGGCGGGACACGAGGAAUCCUGUCUGAAUCCGCCGGGACCACCCGGUAAGGCUAAAUACUCCCAAGAGACCGAUAGUGAACCAGUACCGUGAGGGAAAGGUGAAAAGAACCCCGAACAGGGGAGUGAAAUAGAACCUGAAACCAUACGCUUACAACCUGUCGGAGCGGCUUCGUGCCGUGACGGCGUGCCUAUUGAAUAAUGAGCCUACGAGUUACUAAUCACUGGCAAGGUUAAGUGCACGGAUGCACGGAGCCGAAGCGAAAGCGAGUCUGAAUAGGGCGUUUAGUCAGUGGUUGUAGACGCGAAACCUUGCGAUCUACCCUUGAGCAGGUUGAAGGUUGGGUAAAACCAACUGGAGGACCGAACGAAUAAGCGUUGAAAAGCUUCUCGAUGACUUGAGGGUAGGGGUGAAAGGCUAAUCAAGCUGGGAAAUAGCUCGUACUCCCCGAAAUGCCUUUAGGGGCAGCGUUGUAAUUAAGAGUCUACUGGAGGUAGAGCUACUGAUUGGAUGCGGGGGCUUCACCGCCUACCAAAUCCUGACAAACUCCGAAUGCCAGUAGUAUGAUUUACAGCAGUGAGCGACCGGGUGCUAAUGUCCGGUUACGAGAGUGGAACAACACAGACCAGCAACUAAGGUCCCCAAGAGUAUACUAAGUUGAUCUAACGAUGUUUUGCUGCAGAGACAGCUAGGAUGUUAGCUUGGAAGCAGCUAUUCAUUCAAAGAGUGCGUAACAGCUCACUAGUCGAGCGGCAAAGCGUGGAUAAUAAACGGGCAUCAAGUAUACCACCGAAGUUCUGGGCACGAAAGUGCGGUAGGGGAGCAUUCCAUUCCGCGUUGAAGCCGAACCGUGAGGUUUGGUGGAGUGUAUGGAAAAGCAAAUGUAGGCAUGAGUAACGAUAAUGCGGGAGAGUAACCCGCACACCGCAAGACCAAGGUUUCCUGAUCAACGCUAAUCGGAUCAGGGUUAGUCGGGUCCUAAGGGUAAGCCGAACGGUGAUCUCGAUGGAUAAUCGGUUAAUAUUCCGAUACUGACAUAUACCUCGAUGGAGAGACGAAGGAACGUAAGUGCCGCCACCUGACGGAAUAGGUGGUUAAAGGGCUUAGGUAUAGGGGCAGAUUAAGAGUUAGUCCUUGCUGAAACCUGACAGUACAGAGAGCCUACGGGCAAUUUGAUAGUGCACCCAAGUCGACUUCCGAGAAAAUCUUCUAAGUUAUAGUAUAUGUCACCCGUACCGUAAACCGACACAGGUGGUCGAGGAGAGUAUCCUAAGGUGCUCGAGUGAAUCACGGUUAAGGAACUAGGCAAAUUAACCCCGUAACUUCGGGAAAAGGGGUCCCAUCGCGAGGUGGGCGCAGCGAAGAGGUCCAGGCGACUGUUUAUCAAAAACACAGGGCUCUGCAAAUUCGAAAGAAGACGUAUAGGGCCUGACACCUGCCCGGUGCUGGAAGGUUAAGAGGGGAUGUCAUCGCAAGAGAAGCAUUGAAUCGAAGCCCCAGUAAACGGCGGCCGUAACUAUAACGGUCCUAAGGUAGCGAAAUUCCUUGUCGGGUAAGUUCCGACCUGCACGAAUGGUGUAACGAUCUGGACACUGUCUCAAC